rnacentral:snRNA from 1 species
UUGCUUUGGCAGCCACAUAUACUAAAAUUGGAACAAUACAGAGGAGAUUAGCCUGUCUCCUUUGCAAGGAUGACACACAAAUUCAUGAAGCAAUCCAUAUUUGA